UGGGGAAUUUUCCGCAAUGGGCGAAAGCCUGACGGAGCAACGCCGCGUGGAUGAUGAAGGCUUUCGGGUCGUAAAAUCCUUUCAGCAGGGACGAAGCGAGUGACGGUACCUGCAGAAGAAGCAUCGGCUAACUACGUGCCAGCAGCCGCGGUAAUACGUAGGAUGCAAGUGUUGUCCGGAAUUAUUGGGCGUAAAGAGAACGUAGGCGGUUCUAUAAGUUCGGUUUUAAAGACCGGGGCUCAACCUCGGGAGUGGACUGAAGACUGUAGAGCUAGAGGAUGUCAGAGGAUGGUGGAAUUCCAAGUGUAGCGGUGAAAUGCGUAGAUAUUUGGAGGAACACCUGUGGCGAAAGCGGCCAUCUGGGGCAUUCCUGACGCUGAGGUUCGAAAGCUCGGGGAGCAAACAG
rnacentral:rRNA from 1 species